rnacentral:rRNA from 1 species
UACAGAGGUCCCGAGCGUUGUUCGGAUUCACUGGGCGUAAAGGGUGCGUAGGUGGCUUGAAAAGUUUGAUGUGAAAGCUCAGGGCUUAACCCUGAAAUGGCAUUGAAUACUGUCGAGCUGGAGGUUUGGAGGGGGGACUGGAAUUCUUGGUGUAGCAGUGAAAUGCGUAGAUAUCAAGAGGAACACCAGUGGCGAAGGCGAGUCCCUGGACAACACCUGACACUGAGGAGCGAAAGCGUGGGGAGCAAACAGG